rfam:Ricinus communis cultivar Hale ctg_1100012305780, whole genome shotgun sequence.
CCGAGCCGUAUGAGGUAGGAAACUCUCAAGUACGGUUCUAAUGGAAGGAAUUUGCUUGCCUAUUCUGAC